ensembl:lncRNA
AUGGUGCUCGUCGAGAGAGACAAAAUAAAUCAACACCCGUUUGAAACUCUCUGCGUCUUGAUCAAUCAAUCCGAGGGGCCGCUACACCAACCGCCGUCUAAAGUGCUCAGCAACCCCCCCAAGAUAUCACCGGGUCUUUUGCCCACACGUGAUAGUGUGGAACAUCUACAAAUGAAGUGGUCUCCAACAACGCAGUGGGAUAUAAUCACUCACGCAAAAGGUAAAUUGUCUCUCUUAUCGAUGGAACCGGAGCUGAAGAAACCCAAGACGAACAGAACUUCAACUCCGAACUCUGUCGGCUGAACUGACGCACUGAGAACUUCUGAGACACCCGCUUUCCUUCUGCUUAGCCGUGUGCGAUGCGAGGACUGAGAGGAGGCGUGGGGGGGGGGGGCAGAGAAGGUUAAGCCCUCGCUCUGGUUCCUCCUCUCGUCCCGCUGGGCUCUUUAAGAAGCUCGAGGCUUGUAAAGCCACGAGCCAGAGAGGAAACACACACACACACAUGUGUACUCGAGGUGGUGAUAAGGAGCUACUUAAGGGCACUUGAGCUCUCCGCUUGAACACUUGUUUAGAGGCUCCGAGCCAACUUCGUCCUGCAGCUGAGCUCAGCGGAGUCUUCCUCAGAGCCAACAAAACCGACGACCUGCGCACACACACACCGUGAGAGGCAUUCCUCCGCUGGCAGCAGCUUCUCGUCUUCCUCCUCUUCCUCCUCUUCAUCCCUUAAUGAGGCGGCGAGCGGCGAUUCCGGCCGGAGCUCCUUUUGUGAGCCGGCCGGCUGGAGCUCCGCCGACAAAUUAAAACUCAAUUAUGUUUUCAUUUCACACUCUUUUAUUGGGUGUCAAUGAUUAUAUAUAUCUAUAUAUAUAUAGAUAUAUAUAUAUAUCUAUAUAUAUAUAUAUUAUAUAUAUGUAUAUAUUAGAAAGAGGGCAACCCAGGAGGGACGAGGGGGGAGCAAAGGAGGAAGGACGGAAGGACGGAAGGAUAGGGGCCGAAGGGAGAAUGCAGAAGGGGCUGUAACUGUUCUCCUCCUUCAGGAUUUUCUUUUGUAUCAUACGGCCUCUUGUUCCAUUGUGUGUGUCUGUGUGUGUGUGUGUGUGUGUGUGUCUGUGUGUGUGUGUCCCAUUGUCUUCUGAAAAACAGCCAUAAAGCCUGCAGGAACAUUAAGAUGGGAUAUGAAGGCCGUACACUCAACAUGCCAAUAUAAUGAAAGCGAUGCGCAGUCGUGUUUUUGUGAACGUCAUCGUUCGUGCAUCUGCGGUUCCUCACCUGUUGGAACAGACGCUCCAAAUGGGAUCAUUUCGGUUGUUUGAUUCAAUAUGAGAGCAAUUUAAAUCAGUUUAAUAACCUAAACCUAAACGUCUAAAAUUCAUGGCAAUCAACAGCGUUUAAGGGGAUUCCACCUUCGACGUUGGAACUGCUGUAACUUUCAUUUAAUAAAUUGUGUUGUUUAUUGUCCAUUCCAAGAGUAUUUAUAUUAUAAAUAUAUUAUAUUACUAACCCAGAGCAUUAUAUUUUUAUUUUAUUCCUCUUGCAAUGUUGUCGUGUCGUCCAUUGUCGUACUGUCAUGCUGUUACACAACAACUGGCAAGUCAAAUUCCUUGUAUGUCUGACACAUUAUGGCAAUACAUGUUUCCUGAUUCCUGUAAACUACACAAUAUUUCCCCGUAUUCCCCAUCAGAUGCAUCUUAGUGUUCAAGUACGACGCGUUGUGAUUCUCAGCUGCGCGUUCCGAUAGUGACGUUGAUAAAUAAACACACACACACACACACACACACACACACUCUCCUGUUGCCCUGCAGUCUGUGGUAAUUGAUUGAUUGUACAAGAGAACACAACAGACACAAUUAGUUCGCCCCGGUCAUCUCGUUAGUGAUUCCCCGGGGUCCACAUGUUAGACACCCACGUGUUCACUCACACACACACUAUUCCUCCCCUCUUUGCUCCGCCUCCACGUCCCUCUUUCCAAUCACACUCAAGGCCCUGACUUCUGCCCCCCCCCCCCCCCGCCUCCGCCGCCCACCUUUCAUCCGUCAAUCAAUCAUCCCCCGCGCCCGUCACAAAACACCGACCCAUCCGCCGCGACACUUUUAAUUAUGGCGAGUUAAAAGUUACGAGCCCGGAACACUGAGUCGCUGGCUUUAAUUGCCUUGUGCUGUAAUUCUGGUGGGUGGGAAGGGGGGGGUCACACUUGGGUGGCAGAGAGAGAGAGAGAGAGACGGGGAGAUCGACUUUCAGAUGACCUCCGUGAUCAAUCGAACGGCCGAUAGUGUAGCAGAGCGCCGCGGCUACUUCCUCUUACUUAGUGUUCCUCGCCUCUUAUUAAUUUAUGUUUUAAAUGCUGAUCUAUUUUUUUAAAAAGCCAUUGUGAAAGUGUCUUAAACAUGCAAUCUGUCUAUCGGCCAUCAGGGGGCGAGUCUCCGGGUCCUCCGCAUUCCAACUAUGGCGACGUCCGUUCGCUGGCUGCAAAAACACAAGAUGGCGACCGCGAGAACUCCAUGACGACUGUCCACAAACCAAUGCGUGACAUCGCCAUACGCUGGUGACCAGUGACUAGACUACUCCCACCAGCAGCUAGCGGCUAACGGUGCUCGACCCAUCGGUUUCUGUUCAGACGACGGACUGAAUUUCUCUCCGCAGAACUUCAGCGGGAGCCGUAAAACCUCACGCGAGUCGGGUGAAUUGGUGAAACGUCCUCCCUUCCCCGGCGGCCUGCAAAGAUCAGGUCAUCCCCGCACCUCCCUGUCCAACAGCCUGCACCGAAUGCGGAGGGGGGGGGGGGGCAUUUUUUCCAGCCGACAUGAAUGAGUUGUCGGUUGACUUUCGCCCCAACACAGCUUGAUGCUCCCGUGCGCCUCCAUUCAGCGUUCCUCCUUUCAGGCGUGGGCUGAAGCUGGCACCUCUCUCGGUGGUCUGCUCGGUAAUUAAUGUGAAACCUCGGCGGCGGGCGCCUUUGGCAACCUUCUUCUCCUGAUUCAAAACAAACCCACACAAACACAAACCCAGCCUCUGCCCCCAACCACGAACUCACACUGAUUGGAAACGAUUUACGGCUCCGUCCCCCCCCCCCACCACCUCUCGUUGGAACCACUCUGCUAUAUUAAAAUGGAGCACGCCCCUCCACCGGGGUCCUAAGUGGCGCGGUUGGCCAACCUAAACAAGCCGUAAAGCUCCUCCUGCUUGAGUGGAUCCGAGCGAUCCCUCUGCAGCCGGGUGACCACUCCACUCCGACGACUCCACCCGUCCAAUCAUACAGAUAUAUUUGUGUCCUUUACGGCAAAUGUGCAUUAAGAUGUAGGUCGCUGAGGGGCUAAGUGUGUGUGCGUGUGUGUGUGUGUGUGUGUGUGACAGUGACGGAGAUGAAAGCGACGGUGGCAUCUGACCAAAAGAUCCAUAAAGCGAUGACAUCACCCUCUGAAGAACACGGGGGGAGAAGGAGGUUUUCAGCUAACUAUGAGCUCAGAAUAUUAAUGCAGGAGGACGGCUCCGGCCCCCCCCCCCGGUCCUCCCUCCAGCCUCCGGCGCCAGCCUCUCGUCAUGGAGACACUGCCCUCCUCUGCGCCCCGUCUCAGACUUCGGGCGGUUUCCCGAGCGGUUCCGCGUUCCCUUCAGGCCGCUUUGGGUCAACGUGUGAGUGACAGGUUGCAAAUGUCACAAACAUAAGUCACUUCUCAUUUGUUUAAGGAUUCAAUGGUACCGUUGUUAAAAAGUCUUCUCAAUACAAACAUCCGUUUUCCUCUAACUUGGUAUGUUUAGAGCCCCCCCCCCACGUGUGUCCCUCCCUUUCCCCGCAUGUUUGAAGGAGAGCUCUAAGGUCCACGGGCUUAAUUACUGUAAUGGGGUUUCUGACACUUGAGACUAAAGGACUAGAAAAGACGACAGAAAAUGGACUCGGGGGGGGGGGGGGGGGGGGGGGGUUAUAUUAGCUUUAUACAAGGAAACCCUCAGAGGAAAGGCUUUUACUUAGCGGCAGUUUGUGGCGCUUUUUAUCCGUCAGAAAUGCAGAAAAAACAAUGCACCACACUGUGUGUGUGUGUGUGUGUGUGUGUGUGUGUGUGUGUGUGUGUGUGCGCGUGUAGCUUGUAGCUUUUUGCAGACGACAACGUUCAGAAGUGUUCGAGUCUCUCGGAAAAACUGUUAAUCAAGCUAAUUAUUGAACACAGCAGCUGUGGCUCGUGGGACCGGCGCCGGCGUGUUGUUUUGGCGUUCUUGUUUUUUUUGCGGCUUGUUUAUGGCGGGCGGUCAAAUUGGGGUUCAAGGAUUUCUCAGAGAUCCUCGAGGGAAUCAACAUGGACUUUUUUGCAAACGAGUUUGCAAAAUUUUAGCAAAAGUUACCUCGAGGGUUUGAGAGUUUCUCCGGCGGAAAACAUGCAGACGUCGAUUCCUCGGUUGAUGGUACGCAGCAUUCUGAGCGUGAGGCGCUUCUGCUUGAUUAAACGCAUCAAAGACACUGACAUCCGCCAGAAAUCUGCUUUUUCCCGCAUUUGACGGGAAAAAUUGAUUGGACCCACGCUGCUGGGGGGGGCCUGGAAGGAAAAGAUUACGCACGACGACAAAGAAAGACGCCACGAAGAAGAAAGGCGAGGAGGCGGAGAAAACGAGAGCCAACUUCUUGUCCAUCUUCAUUAUGGGUAAUUUCAUUUUUUUGUCAGUCACGAAGACGCCUCAGACGUUUGGCUCGGUUCUCUGGCACGGACUCGCGCGCGGAUAUUUAGAGUCGAGUUCAAGUUAAUUAAAUCAGAAACCAAAUCAGUGUGUUCAAAAGGUUCUGUCGCCACAAAGAAGCUUCUUGUAAUCGAAAUUAAGAAGGAAUUCUCUGCUAUUCUGGAAUAUGACGAUUUCUUUCAAACUGCAUUUCGCGUUGGACGAACUGAAGGAAACCUUCUGGAGAAUAAACGUUUCUCUUCACAGGAGACAUUUUGGUUCAGGAAAUGUUUGUUCUUCAGGUCAAUAUAAAGAUUGAAGUGAAAAAAACACACUCAUAAUAUUAAUAAUUAUAAAGAUGUUUUAAUCAGCCAGCAACCUCGAUGACGUUGAUGCUUUGUGUGUUAAAGCUGCAUUCUGUGUAGUGACCAGCAGGGGGCGACUCCUCUGCUCCCAUAGACGUCUAUG